UACAGAGGUCUCAAGCGUUGUUCGGAAUUACUGGGCGUAAAGGGCGCGUAGGCGGCCAACUAAGUCCGACGUGAAAUCCCAAGGCUUAACCUUGGAACUGCGUCGGAUACUGGAUGGCUUGAAUUCGGGAGAGGGAUGCAGAAUUCCAGGUGUAGCGGUGAAAUGCGUAGAUAUCUGGAGGAAUACCGGUGGCGAAGGCGGCAUCCUGGACCGACAUUGACGCUGAAAGCCGAAAGCCAGGGGAGCAAACGGG
rnacentral:rRNA from 1 species